AGUUAAUUAGCUUAAGAAAAGCCUGUAUUUUGAAAAUACAAAAAAAAAGGUUCAAUUCCUUUAUUAACUU
rnacentral:tRNA from 1 species